GACGAACGCUGGCGGCGUGCUUAACACAUGCAAGUCGAACGAAGAGCGAUGGAAGCUUGCUUCUAUCAAUCUUAGUGGCGAACGGGUGAGUAACGCGUAAUCAACCUGCCCUUCAGAGGGGGACAACAGUUGGAAACGACUGCUAAUACCGCAUACGAUCCAAUCUCGGCAUCGAGGAUGGAUGAAAGGUGGCCUCUAUUUAUAAGCUAUCACUGAAGGAGGGGAUUGCGUCUGAUUAGCUAGUUGGAGGGGUAACGGCCCACCAAGGCGAUGAUCGGUAGCCGGUCUGAGAGGAUGAACGGCCACAUUGGGACUGAGACACGGCCCAGACUCCUACGGGAGGCAGCAGUGGGGAAUCUUCCGCAAUGGACGAAAGUCUGACGGAGCAACGCCGCGUGAGUGAUGACGGCCUUCGGGUUGUAAAGCUCUGUUAAUCGGGACGAAAGGCCUUCUUGCGAAUAGUUAGAAGGAUUGACGGUACCGGAAUAGAAAGCCACGGCUAACUACGUGCCAGCAGCCGCGGUAAUACGUAGGUGGCAAGCGUUGUCCGGAAUUAUUGGGCGUAAAGCGCGCGCAGGCGGAUUGGUCAGUCUGUCUUAAAAGUUCGGGGCUUAACCCCGUGAUGGGAUGGAAACUGCCAAUCUAGAGUAUCGGAGAGGAAAGUGGAAUUCCUAGUGUAGCGGUGAAAUGCGUAGAUAUUAGGAAGAACACCAGUGGCGAAGGCGACUUUCUGGACGAAAACUGACGCUGAGGCGCGAAAGCCAGGGGAGCGAACGGGAUUAGAUACCCCGGUAGUCCUGGCCGU
rnacentral:rRNA from 1 species